CAGCCACUAUCUUCACUGCCGCC
rnacentral:miRNA from 4 species